GUGCUCACUUCAGCAGCACAUAUACUAAAACUGAAACGAUACAGAGAAGAUUAGCAUGACC
rnacentral:snRNA from 1 species